UUAGUGGGGACUGUUAGCGUUAGGUCAGAGGUUGGACUCGGUGAUCUUGAGGUCUCUUUCAACCUAGAUGAUUCUGUGAACGUGGUUAGGUUGGGCCUCAAAGGGAGAUGGAGGUUUGGACGUGCUGGAAGAGCAGCAAAGAAGAAAUGGAGGGCUGCUACUGAGCAGGCGGUGUGGGCGGGUUGGUGAGGGGAGGCAUGUGGCUCAGGCUGCCAAGGAGCAUUGCAUGUGUUUGGGAUGUGGAGAAGAAAACAUUGCAGUGGUUGCAGCAGGAGGUAGCAAAGAGGCUUACAGGCCAGGUUUGCCAGUAAGAAUGGUAACAGAUUGGUCGUGAGCCUGGUGGGUAGAAGGAAGGGCUAGGAGCUGGGUGCUGCGUGACGUGUGGGACGGAGGAUGACGAGGCAAUAGGGAGCGCGUUACUGGUAUUGGCAGUGAAACUGAAAAGGGAAAGUGAGGCUAAGCCAAGGCAACGCUAUACUUAAUUACCUUAAGACAGUGAUAAGAGAGUUACCGAGGUUAACCCAGGAGGGAGGAUCUGUGCAUCCCAGGCCAGCGGCACAUCCACAGCUGUAGAGGCUCUUUUCCAGCUCAUUAGCUCUUGCCUUCCAGGCUACCUUAUCCCCCAUCAGUGAUUCCUCUUUAGGAAUUUCAGUAUGGGGAUCUCAGGCAACUGUGGGGAUGAAAGGGAUUUCUUGCAAGCUUCUGUCACUUCGCUUUCCCUUCUAGCCCGGGUCUCUGUUGGAGGCUGGUCCAGGCCCUUAGAAGUGACCUGAAGGUACGUGUUAAAACAUGGAAGGUUCGCUUAAAGACAGUUGUCGUGGGCUCAGGUGGAGAGGCCACGCUAAAGCGACCUGUGAGGUUUCUUUGAAGAUACAAAGGCUGUAAUUGGGAAAGGAGAGCUGGCAGCCACCAAGAGCUGCCUACUGCAAAAGAUCUGUGAGCAAUAUAGCCACCAAAAUGAGAAGCUGUCUUAGAAAUAUAAAUUGGAAAAAUAAACGUAUACGUUAUUUUGAUGUGGAAAAGGAAAAAGAGAGCAUAAUUUUCCAAGUUUUUUUGAAGUUCAAGAGGGAAGCUAUUAGAAAAUAAGAUCUUUGUUAAAUAAGGUACGUAGCAGAAAGUAUCUACCUACUAAAACGCAAAGAAUGCUUUGCACUGAAGAUUACAGCAUGAUUUUAACUUAAUGAGUGGCAGUUGAUAUUAUCAACUAGGCAGUAGUCAAUUUAUAUAAAACACAUGUUUUAAUUCAGUCCAGUAGGUGCUGUGUAUUAUCAAAAUUUUGAUUUAAGCCUGCCCUGUAGUGAUAUCAAAUCCUGGUUUUGUGUAAAAAAAAUAAAUGAAUAAAUAAAAAUCCUUUUCAAAUGGCAAUAUGUGAACUACAGUAGAUAAAGCAAACCUAAUUAGUUUCAAAGAUACUCCAAUUUAGGGGCAAAAUUUUUCUACAGAGGUUCAUUUAAUCCCAAACUGCAGCACUUCUGCCCCUCUAGUCCCCCUGAAAAAUAUCUAUGUUAUAACCAGUUCUUACUUUGGCUCAAACCACAAGUCUCCGUCUUCAGCUGCUGGGAUGCUGAAGGGUCUCCCCUUACCCUGCAGUGAUUUUUAAGGCCUUAAUGAGAUUCUGUAAUCCACUGUGUACGUGGGAUGAGCAUCGGUAUGAUUUUGUCACAGUCAGGCGUGUACAUGUUCGGGCUUUUCAGUUUCAAAAUAGCUGUCUGUCUCCUCUGUGCCUUCAGCCCUGCGUUAUAGACAAUACAGUAACUUGUAGAAGCAGGAGCAUGCGUUUGAUCACCUAUACAGCUCCACUGAUGGCAGUGAAGUUAGUGAAUGAAUGAAAUGAACGAAAGAGUAGAAGCUUAGAUCCCUUGUCAAUGACCUGAGAGCAGCCCCCUUGAUACCUCCCUGAUGGGUAUCUUCUCCACCCAGGAAGGAAAAGUUAAACAGGGAUGUCUUCAUAUGAAGCUGGAUGUGUGUGUCCAGGAAUUACCUAUUUUUUCCCUGAUAACUUUUGUCAUUUUGAGUUAAAUUAAUAGUUACAUUACUAAGUUUUACUUGCCAAAAAGAACUGACAAAGCUUUAAGAGAGCUGGGAGACCUUAGUGGGAGGCACAGAUUUGGUAGGUUGCUCAAGUAUUUCACAGUCCAGGAAAGGAUUCUGGUAAAGCAGCAGCAGGUCAUAGCAAGGUUUUUCAGUGUGGGAGCCUUCUGAGAGGCCAGAGUUGCACAGCUGCUACCCCAGAGAGUAUAGAUGCAGUUCGAGCAGUCCUAUUAAAGUCAUUUGGAGUGCCUGCAACCUUUGCUGUUCUUCCAAAUCAACACUUCCAGUGGUGACAGUGGAAAUACAGCUUUGAGACAUCAGUCUGGUUUAUUUUUUUAAAACUCCUACGUAACAGAAAAAAAGAGUCAGUCCCCUUGCUAAUUUUAUCCUUCGUGUUAGGUCACCCCACUGCCUCCCGUGUUCUGAUGACACAGGAAGAGUAAGUCCUUCUUUCGCCUCUCUGGCUGGUGUCCUGGCAUCACCUUUGCUGCCCUUUGCUUCAGCAUCUGCAGGGUAACGGGAUACAAUGAAAGGUUUUGCUUGGACUUCAUAUUCAUCCAUGUUCUUCAGCCACUGCAUGGCUUUGCUGUGAGAUGAGAAGUGUUUGCUGCACUCGGCCUGCUGGAUUGCAUUUUGUUCUCCAUCCAGUCGUCCUGGGCUGAGUUUGAUUGCGAGUGAAGGUUGGCUUUGUUUUGCAGACCCAUUUAGGAUCCUUCAGAAAGAGUGCCAGUGUAGAAACGUCAGCAUUGCAUAGACAGAUAUCAAACUAUCAGAUAAAUGGAAAUUGCUCUGGGGGAAAAAAAAAAAAAAAAAAGUAAGUAAUAUUGUCUUAUGUUAGAGAUCGUCAUUGGUCUUUCUUCGUAUCAUUAACUCAGAGAAACUCCCACCUGAAUCCAUUUGGAUAUGGGAGGUGAAACUGAGUAAAUACUAUCAGGUUUGUGCACACAAACGAGGAGCAUUCUGGUGCUUGCAAAAGGGCUCAGAUGGUUUCCAGCCCCUGUUUCUCACAGGGAAAGAGAAGACUGCUCCUUCCUUCCUGGCAAGAAGGGCAGCAAGUGCUGCAGAUGGCAGUCUUACACCCAGCACCUGCUUGAAUCCAGCAUGUAGCUGGACUGGGCCAGGCCCUGUGCUUCUCUUGAAGCAUACAGGUUGGUCAGAAAUGGUAUCCUUUUCUAGAUGUGCUUUAGUCAAGGCUGUGGUAAAAGUGUCAGGAUUUAUCUUUGAUGAGCAUUCCCCAAAACAGAAAUGAUUGUUCCUCAAGAAAUCAACAGAAAAUCUCCUUUAAGUAACUGAAAUAAAGCAUACAGCUUUGCUGAUGUGUCGCUUUGUUACAAAGUGUAUUUCUGUGAAGGGUAGAGAUUUGUCUUUGUCUUUGUCUUGCUGAUCUAGGCGAGAUCCAGCAAAACAAGCUGCUGGUGACAAGGGAAAUUCAAGUUACAGUAUUGGAAGAUUCAUGUCAGCGCAUAACGAAAACAUGCUUAUGGAAGCUGCUAAAUACGUGUUACUAGGAGCUGAGUGAAGUAAUCCUGAAGGCUCUAAAUUUACAUGUUUAAAAAAAAAGAGUAAACGUGUGCACACAGAGCUGAUGGAUGUAGCUCCUGCCAUGUACUACAGCUAGAGUUUCAAAAGUGGCUAGUGAUUUGGCUUUAUUUUAUUUAUAGGUGGUCUGUUCUGGAAGAGUCAUCAAAGGUCCUUGCCUUUCUGAGAUUGGCCUAGUCAGCUUUUUCUGAAAAUGAAACUCUACUAGCGCUGUAGUGACGUUUUUAAAAUCUCAGCUAAUUUGCAGGUGCAUGAACACACAGCAACAGACACGAUCCCAUAGAUACAGACGUACAUAUUUCACAUAUAGAAUUUACAGAAUACAGAACAGGAGGCACCAGUCUUUUCUUGAGCAAGGGGUGCAGUUCUCAGUGCCUCGAGUAUAUAUUUUUCAUUUAACCAACAAAAAAAUAAAUAAAUUAGGGUCUCUUUGUGACUGAAGAGGAGAGAACAUGCUGCAUUUUACACAAAACAUAUGCUUGCCUGUCAGCUGACUAUUUCUCUAAUACAUCAAAAUGAUUAGAUCAUUUCUUUUUUUUUUUUUAAUUGAAAUGAGAGCUUUACUUUUGUUGAAUUAUUCACUUCCCACAACUGUUGUUAUUUCUCCAGCCUACCCUGAGUUUACAGCACUGGCUGAAGUGUUCUCAGAUGAGCAGGUGGGAGAACGGCCUGUAAGUCGUCAUCUUUAUAAACGGUUCGUAAAACUUUUGGUGUUGAAAGGUAAGAAUAGUUGAAGUAAAUCUCAACAAUGCUGACUCAAAUGUUUAAAGCAUUGCUUAAAUCCCUUGAUUAACCCAGCUUCUCAAUAUUUGACAUGAAUCAAUAGCUCUGAGAUGUCUUUGCUGUUCUCUAGCUUUGUAAAUAUUUAUGUGGCCAGUCCCAUGAAAUAUGAUGCUUAAUCCUGUUAAAGUAAUUCUUUGUGUGCUGCACAUGAAGACAUAUAAAGUAUAAUAGUUCCAGUCAUGCUAGUUAAAUAAUUGGCACUAAGGAUGAAAUCUGCUGCAUUUCUUUAGUAAAUAACCAGGAUUUAUACAAUUCAACUGUGAGUGAAUGGAAAGCAAAAUCCACCUUCUGUCACAAAUCUCUGGCCAGCUGCUGGGGAUGCAGAUUGCCUGAUUUUGGCUUGUUCCUGAGCCAAAUAGUAGGCUUUUGUUCCAGAUAAGAGGUGCUGAGAGCUAGAUCAGUGCUAAUAGUGAACGGAUGGCACCUCUAUUAGCUUGUCCUCAGCCUUCCCUUGUUGGGAUGUGCUGUAAUUGUGCACUCCAGGGAGCAGGAGGAUGCUCUGUCCAUAGUUUCCAGGACCUGGGAAAGCCUUCUCUGGGAACAAUGGUGCAAAAGGGUUGCACCAGCCCUACAGAUUGUGGCUGAGAUAUUCCUGCUAAUACACAAGAUCUGCAGGAGGCCUGUAUUUAAAUGGUUUGGCUUAUGAAGCACAGUGGCAUGCUUGUUCCUAAGACACUGUGCAUUUAGUCAUUGUUUACUGAUGCAGUCUGAUUCAUCUGUGGAUUCUGCCAGGCUUUGCGGUUGUACUCCUUGCCUCGAGGUAUUCCAGAAAUAAAAGGGGCUGGGGAAUAACAAGGAAGCUGGGAAAGAUCACGGUGGCAUAAGAUGCGCAGAGUUGGCCACCAAGAAUUCAGAAGUGGAUCUUCCUUAGAUGGGCUCUGUUCUCGUGCCAAAGUGGAUCUUUCUGUGCUUCUAGGAUGGAUGCCUAUCAUACAAGAGCUCCUACUGGAGCAUAGUUACAGGCUUUCCUGUAAAAGGAUGGGAGAAAAGGGGUACCCAGUAUGCAAAUCCAUAAGGGCCUGCCUUCUGUGGAAUUUUUCAGAUUAAUUACAGAUAAAAUAUAUUCCUAUGGGUUCUUUUAGGACUGUUCUCUAGCUUACAGGCAUCCUGCCUAAUAAAACGUGGAGAAAAAAGCGGUGUUUUAUGUAUUUAGAAGUAGUUUAGCUUUUUAUUUGCUUUCUCGCUGCAAUUCCCUUAAGAGCCCUUCAGCAGAUGAAGAGAUCUCCAUGCAGAAGUGCUACGGUGGUGCUGCACUUCUGUAGCCCAGUUUGACCACCACGUAAGCCAAGCAAAUAAACGUAUGCUUACAAGAACAGCACAUCCCAGAAAAGGUGAUGUGGGAAUUCAAUGAAAUUACUUCCAGUUUUCCUGACCGUAUGUUUAUAUGGUCACCUGGGGGGGUGUGUUUGCCUAUAUAUAACUACACACAAUAAAGGUUGGGCCAAAACCCAGAUGAUUGCAUUUGGAUUGCUAACAGAUUCUUCUUCAGCUUCCUUUCCAUGUUCUGUUACGUUGCUUGUCCUUUCAGCUAUUUCCCCCCCAUCCCAACCAAAGACCGAGUAGGAGCUGCAGAAUGUGUCUUGUGUUUAGGGAGGUAUUUAGAGGUACUUUGGAAGAAAAAAUGAUGUUUAUGCACGAAGGCUUGCAUUUUCAGCCAUGCACGUCAAAGGUCCAGGAGGUCUGAAGUCAAAUUGGAAAUCGGGCUAGACGUGGUCUAUCAAAACAUCAAGUAAAAUUUGUAGCACUGAAAAUAUAAAACUAAUUAACUUGGUUAAAAAAAAAAAAGUCUUUUAAUUCACUACGACCAAUAAAUGUUAGUCUGUAGAGAGCAAGUUAACAGGGACACAAAUAGUGAUGGGGAAAAAUUAAUAAAUGAGUCUUAUGUACCUAGACAUCUGCUCAGCCAACCAAGAUUUCUAAAGGGUCAGUUGCAUGUCUGGAAAUGUAGCCACUGGUGUCUUAAAUAGAAGACAUGGAAGUAGACAUGGGUUUUGAUUAUUUUUUUUAAACUUCUAUAUUACAUGAUGUGCCAAAAAAUAAUAAAUAAACAAACAAACAAAAACACCAAAAGACAAGAAAGCAAACAAAAAUCCUACCACAUGAAAGCCACAGGUAAUGUUGAUGGAAGUGAAAUGCUUGAAGGUCACAUGCCUUCAGUCACCACAAAGCAAAAAUGUGUCAAAAGUAUGUUGCUUCAUCUGCAAAACAAAUGUGCAGGAAUCACUACAUGCCUAGCAGGUAUGAGGAUUAAAUGUAUUGAUCAGCCUUUUAUGUCUUUUUAAUAAUAAUCACUUGUAUUUAAAAGAGGAAAUAAUGUUUUGUCAUCCACAUCUAAGGGACAGCUUUUUUUGUCGUUCAUGAGGAGCAGAACUCAGAAUUCUUAUUGCAAAAAGAAGCCAGACAGCAGAUGAGGCAAAAUGACAUAUUCAGGUAAAACAUGAGCCACCAGCUCACUACAAGCAAGUUCAGUGCAAUGACAGUCCUGCUGCCCUUCCCUAGGGAUUGGGCAGAACUGCUCAAGAAGGAACAGAUGGAAACAGCUGCCAAUAGAUGAGUUCUGGAAAGGAUUCAAGCCACAGUACUUGCUGUGGCUUGGGAGCUUGUGAUGGGCAGAGCUCACUGAAUGACUGGUAUCUAUGAUUUUGGACUGGACAGCUAUCAGUCAGUUCUUAGAUACGGGACCCAGAUAAAAAUAUUUUGGAACAAAGCUGUGUCUAGGGCAUUCUCUGCUAUCUUUGUAAUUCCCAAGUGAGAAAGGAAAGUACAUCUCUAACCACAGAGCUCUAGAACAACAGAUUUAUCUAACUUCAAGUGGAAAAUCAUGAUCCUUCCUGCUCAUAGACAGAAGAGACCUGAGGUCCGUAGAAUCUUGGUUCUACUUAUACAUGGACAAUUCACUAGGUUGCAUUUUAGCUAGCAGGAGCUUGCAUUUUAUUUAUUUUUUAACCUAAAUAUCUUUCUCAUGACAGAAGACAGCAAGAGAGAUGUUGAAGACCUGAGCCUUGAUGUCAUUUCCUUAGAAUUUGUACCAGGCAGAGCUGGCAGCAGAACAGCGCCUUCCUCUUCCACACCUAGGCUGAAGUCAAAGGCCCAUAAUGCUUAUACAUCAGCCGAUUGCAUUCGUUUGAGGAUUCAGAAGUAAAGCAUCCAUGUGAAGGAAAGGAAAGGAAUGUUUUAUGGCCAAGGUGUAAGGUAGAUGACCUUUAGGUGGAGGUGACUGUGCAUGAUGAGGUUUGUGUGCCACUGAGGACCAGAGGACCAUGGCAUUGCAAGCCCACUGUCAUCUGCUCUUGUGCCUGUGCCUCAUCUGCCUUCUGAAGGCUCUUUGGUAGCAAAGUGCUUGGCAUUUUCCUGGCGUAUGGAGCUCCAGGUGGUGACUGAAGACAGUGAAUAUUUUUGCCGUUUCUCCACCGACUGAUUUUCCAUUAUGAAGAGAUGAGAAAACAGAACAUUCAACACACCAGGAGUUGACCUCACGAAGAAAUGCAGUCUGCAAGCUAUCCAGCAGAUGCCGCUGUUGGACAAAAAAAAUAGCUCAAGCAAAGUCAAUGGGACACCUUUACAGAGCUGGACAUCGAUGAAGGUGUAGAGGGGACAGCUCUGCCUCAGAGUCCCCUCGGCUCUGCACGGUGGUCCCGUGCCUCAGAGCACCCGUUUGUCAUCCACCGUGGUCGGCACACACAACGAGGGAGCUGAUGAGCUCUUCCCUUCUUCCUUUUUCCUGCUUAAGAGACAGCCUGGCGUGGGGACCCUGUUGCUGCUGGACUUCAUGGCAGGAGAAGGGAGCUCAUCUUCUGCCGGGGGAGGACGUACGCCAGCAGCUACGGGAAGGGCAGGAGGAGGCGACUCGCCCCGUGACGGAGCUCGAGGGGCCUCGGCGAUGGGGCACUCACCAUGCCGUCGGAGCAGUU